AUACCAUCGCUAUAAAAGAGACCAAAGUAAAUCCUACUGUGCAGUUUGUACUUAUGUAUAGUUAUUUACUGAAGAAAUGUGCACAUUAUAACUUACACGGUUAUAUACUUGAAUACUUCUGCGUUAACAAUGUUUUAGUAAUUGUGGUGGUAUUUGGUAUUUAUAAUUUUAUCUUUUAUAUAAUUUAAUUUGUUUUCAUGUUUGUUCAUGUAAAUGAUUUAUCUUUAGAAGUUAUAUGGGGAAUAAAGAGAACCUAACUAAGAAAUUCUGAAUGGUUGUUAUUCCUUUGGUGGUGGUGGUGGUUGAUUGGUUCGUUGGUGGGGGGGGCACCACCAAGCAUUUGUGCUUAGGGCACCCAAAUGGCUAGCGCCGGCCCUGGGGUCUUGUAACUGCGCUGUUUCAUACUGACCCUUCAGUGGCAGCCUUUCUCGGGAACCCACAGCAUCCUCUUCACUCGGUUCAGGUUGGAGAUUGGCGUCCUGGGAUUCUGCGCCACUAGAAGGCUUGGACUAAAACGGGGCACAGUGCAGGGCCUGGCCACAUUAACCCAGGCUUUAUUCUUUUUAUAAUUAGCUGACUCAGAUGUUCGGGGAUCCUGAUUAAGCCUUUUGAGGGCGUCUCCCUACAGCAUCCGAAAGGCCGGGCAGUCAGUCCCAAUGUGUGAGGAUUCCUGUCUAACCUUGGUGUUUUUUCCCCUCCGUUUCCCCCAUAUUCUCUCCUCAUGUUGAUGUCAUUCCCUUGUUUGUUAUUGUUUUGCCAUGUGCUUGUGUUUUGUUUCUGUGUCCCCAGUAGUGUCCUCAGAGUCCCACCUGGCUGAAGUGGUCACCAGCUCGUUCCAUGGAGAUCAGCGGUGUGAUUACGGAUCGGAGCGGACGCGGGCCCGGUCAUCACCUGGCCGAUUUGACCAGUUUCCUUUUAUUCAGCCACUCACAAUUGACUUGUCUCCUGUUGCUUUUUUUGUCCUGCUGGAGAAAAAUAAAUUCACCUGUUGGAUUAAGGGAAACCUUGGUGGUCCUUUGUGUUGCAUUUGGGUCCGUUUGCACAUCGUAACACAAUGAUGACAGUAAUGAAACAGGGUCUAGAUAUGACCAUGAUCCAUGGAAACCUGUAUGGCGAGAAAGCAUUACAUGUCAUUUAGCUGACCCCUUAUCCAAAGCGACUUACAAUAAGUGCAUUCAACCUUAGGGAUGCAAACUCAGAACAGCAAGAAACAAGAAAGUGCAAUUUCAUCAAAUAAGCAAAUUUACAAUUUGCAAUAGAUAAGUGGCAUUAUAAGUACAAUUACGUGCUACAAUUUUUUUGUCUUUAGCCGAGGUAGAGUCUGAAGAGGUGUGUCUUUAGUUUGCGGUGGAAGAUGUGAAGGCUCUUUGCGGUCCUUGUGUCUUCAGAGAGCAAAGAGUCGUGAUCUUGUUGAGUGUUUUGCUCUCAGUGAGGGAGGGACAAGCAGUUUUGCGAGUUUAGCAAAGUUUUGCAGAGCGGAGUGCGCGGGUUGGGAUGUAGGGUUGGCUGUUGACUGUCUAGUGUCAUGCCGAGGUUCCUAGCAGUCAAAGUGGGCGUUAACACAGAGUUGCCAAAGUUGACCGUCAAGUCCUGGGUCGGAGAAUCUUUUCCCGGAAAGAAAAGUAGUUCAGUCUUGUCGGAUUGAUUUUCAGAUGGUGAGCGGUUGUUACGGUGGAGAUAGGAGGAGAAUUGACCAGCACAGCUGGAAGGUGUUUCGCUAAUCAGGCAAUCAAUUCUCCAGCCUUCCACUCAGAUCAUCAGUUCACAACCUGAAACUAAUGCAACGGCUUAAACGCGCCGCACUUUUGUUUGCCUCAGGUUCUCUGCCACUCUGGAUUCCCCAUAACCUGCAUUCCAGACUCGGCCUGCUCCAGCUCUGCUCCAACCUGCUGACCAUUCCCCCCGCCCGCUCACAAUAUUGCAACCCCUGCUCUUGGGUCCAGCCCCACAAAAAACAUGAACUAAUUUUUUUGCAUCACUUUGAGACAGGAAGUUCCUGAUUUUCAAUAUAAUACGUAGAUGAAAAAAUACUAUAUGAGAGGUAAAAGGACAUAUCCUGGUUGAAGAGAACUCCAAGAUUCUUGACGGUGUUGCUGGAUACCAAAGCAAUUCCAUCAAUAGAAACUGUAUCACGUGACAGAUGAGAUUAGCAUCAGGAAGUUGCAGGUCGACAUGUUGACAGUAUUUUCCACUUUGCCUCCUCUUCAGCUAUUCCGCCAAGUUUCUGGCAUAUUAAUACAGAAAAGUUAUGAGACGGGGGACAAAUUAGAGACCAAAACACAGAUUUUCAGUAGUGCAGUUAAGCAAGUCUUGCAACUGCAUAAAAUAACUGACAGGAGGAGUUCAGGGAUGAAACAAUGACAUGCAUGACCUGAAAGUAAACAUAAAAACGUAAUAUUACGGUACAAUUCAUUAUUCAACAUUCAAGAAAACCGCAUCAAAAAUACAUGAGUGAAAGACCGUGUCAGCCCCCUAAUAAGUAGGAAAAGUCCUCCAUGUCUCCUGAGGCCCGCAGACAGGUACGCUUUGCAGCAGUGAACUGUUGUGACAAAGCCAUUGCUCAUUUUGGUCGUUUGAGCUCCACGCCCGUUCCCGCUGCUAUAGAUGAUGUCUUUGUUAAAGGGCAGGUUUCAUUAAUAUUGGAACAAAGUCAUUGCUGGCAAAGAUUAAAAACCCAAGGAAAGAAUAAAUAACGCUUUGUUGAAUAUUUCAGCGAAUGAAUAAUUCAGCAGUGCGAAGGGUACUGUGUGAAACACGAGGCCAUCUACUCCGGAAAUUAUGAAUGGCUUUAUCUGUCUAUUUCCUUUUUUUCAAUUUAAGGCAUCAGGUAGUCUUGCACACCAUGCAGUUUGACAUGUCAUAGGACAAGCCUUUGGAACGUUUUUUUCAUGGUGGAACAAGCAAGCUUUAGUUUUUUUAGUUGCUGCAAUUGACUAGAGAUUGCCUAAUCAAUAAGAAGUCUCACCCGAGUUGGACAGAACCUUGUUAGGGAUUUAAGCCAGAAGUGCACCCCUAGUCAGGGAAUUAUAGUACGUGUAAUAAUGUUUAGUGUUAGAAUUAUAGUUUGUGUGUUAUUAGAUAUUAGUUAUUACAUUAACAUGAUAGAUGAAGUGAAUGCAAUUUCAAUCAAACACAAUUCAUAGUCAUUUAAAUCAUAUAAACACUGUACACAUUAACAUUCUGUCACAAUGUGAUGUUAAAACCUGGGGACGGAUGCCAAUUGCCGUUCUUUAUGGAUUUCUCCCAAUUUUAUCCCCAAAGAGGGUUUUUUGGGAGUUUUUUCUCCUGUCAGGUAAUAAAUGAACAACUUAAUGUAAGGCAGCCGACUGAGGCAAAUGUUUAGAGAAUUGGACCACAUGAACUGUCUUAGAUCUUAAGAUGAAGUGUGAUGAACGGUGAUCAUUAAUGAUGGGUUGUUGUAAUGAAAGUGUACUAGUAAUAAGAUGAAGACUUAAACGAUGUAUGCUUUGUUAAAUUCACUCAUUGAGGCAUAAAGCCAACUGUAUCUACAUUGAGUGCAUUGGAAUGUGAGGGACAGCUAGGACAGAGAGGUUUCAGGUUACAGCUGCAGAUUCACACCUCGACGUGGAAGGGACAAUGGAGGAGGUGACCCUUUGGAGAAGAGGCCAAUGACAUUCAAAUGCACCAAAGAAGCCACACCUCAAGAGGUUUCAAAGGACCAUGGCGGGGGAAAGACUGUUAGAUUUUCUCCUGCAGCCGCGUUGAUAAGUCACUUUAGACUUGCUCAGAGGAUUCUCUAUUUCGCGAAAUAUUCCACUGUUCGCUUAGUAUUUCACUUUGUAAUUGCAUUCCCUAUAACGUUGUUCAGUUAUUAAAUAACUUUUGAUUUUUGAAUUUAAAUGAAUUGACUCAUUCGUGUCCUCGUUUCCGGCCGGGACGAGAACAACAGGAGUGAGGCCUCCCUCGAGAGCUUUCCGAAACCUUAACAACCUUCACAAAGAAAGUACCCACAACUGCAAGAUUAGUAUCAAUUUUGAAACAGUUGAUGCCAAUUGUGCAGGAAAAGUGUGUGCGUGUAAACUGAAAGCAGUUGAGCAUGUGACACAAAUGGAGCUUAAGCAGUAGUUCUUCUUCUUCUUUUAGUUUACUGGCAGAUCUCAACCAACUUAAAAGGUGCAUAUACCGCCACCUACUGCACUGGAGUAUGACGCCGGUCACUGCCUCCCUUCUAUAUCCUUCUGUAUAGCCCCGUGUUCCUGAGAAAAAGAAAUACUGCCUUCAUUACUCCCUCCUUCCCUUUUCCACCCCCCAAGUACCCCACCUAAGUCCCAGCCCCGCUUCGUCUCCCUGACACUACCAUACAACACCACCCUCUCCUUAUCAUACCUUAAGCAGUAGUUCUAGAAGGAAGACUCCCUUUAUGCCACAGGUGAUGUAGAUAUGCUUCAGCUGGUCUCCCAGAAUAAUCCAAUCAGCAGAGAUUGGCUGCGCCCAGGUGUAUGCGAGCAACAGAGGCGGCGCUGUGGCUCUAAACCAAUCAUAUAGUUGCUGUCAAUCCUUUUUUGAGGGGUUCUCUGUGUUGCUGUCAGGUGUCAUUUCAGUGCGAAACCGACUGUGACCCUCCUCCACCCUAGGCACCUCCAGCAGCUAUCAGGCAUUGUUCACUUGGUUUCAGUGUUAAUUUUGGCAGCUAUUUUUGAUUUAGUCUUAAGACGAAAAAUGCAUAUUAGUCAUUUUAAUCCUUCUUAGUUUUAGUCACAUUUAAUAGCCAUAUUAAACUCCUUUUCUUCUCUUCUCAGGCCCAGGGACCCCCUGUGUUGUGUCUACAACUGCAUAAUAGUCUAGCUUGCAGUACUUGGUUGUCCAUCAGAUGUCCCUCUUAGGACAGGUCUAUAGCAGGGGUCGGCAAACUUUUUGACUCGUGGGCCACAAUGGGUUAUAAAUGUUGACGGAGCCGGGCCAAGUGGAUGAAGUGGAUGAAGUGUUUGAGCCAAUAUAAAUGACAUGUGAAAAAUCAUUACAUGAAAGGAUUUGGAUUUUAACAAAUAGCAAAGCAUUUAUUUGCAAGGCAAUUUAACAAAUUGGCAAACGUAACAACUUCAUGAGGACCAGGGAUCUAAACGCAACACUUUGUUGUCUUUGUUUACUUUCAAUGCUUUUGACAUGGCCACCGGAAACUUCAUGGUCCUCUAUUGUUUCCACUGUGAAAUUGCUUGUCCCAUCUGAAGAGACCCCUUAACGUCCUACAAUCGGUGCAAUACAUUAUUUUCUUGGCUUCAGAACCUGCAAUGAGUUUAUUAUGUUAGACGUGUUUGGAAAAGCCUGUAACGGGCCGUCUCAUCCACCCGAGGAAACGCUGCCUACCGUCGCCAGAGAACAGAGCAGAAAGGUCCGCGUGGAUCUCUGCUGGCCGACAGUCAUCCCACCCAUUCAUCGAAAACACACAAUGACCAUUUAUCUUUGGGAAUACAUUAUGUGAAAAUGUAUCCAAGUUUUUUUGUCCACCAUAAAACAGUAGUCAGCUAGCACAUGUACGUUGAUUAAGAUUUUACUUUGUGGAUUAGAUACUUUUGCUACUGGACAUUAAGAGGGAAAAACAAAUUAAUCCAUCCACUUCAAAACGCAGGUCGACAGAAGCCGCGCCCCUCCUAAAGAAGGCUUUGAGAGUGGAUCUGACACCCAAGCUACCUCAGAUUAAGCCCUUUCUCCUGACACUCCAGUGCAGGAGGCCUUUCACAAUAGUCAAAUUCUUAGUUCUGCGAUCUAUUACAUUUAUUCUUACAUAAAAAUGAAUAUCAACAUUUUAGUCGAUCGGGCUGCCUCUAUCAUGUUGUCUGUUUUCUUUGUCAAAAACAGGGCUCAGGCAGCGAGUCCACACACUAGACACCGACAGGUGAAGAGAAGGCGCGAACCCACUGUUAUAAAAGUGUUCUUUUUACAGACGGCCAGUUAGGAUAGAAAAGUCCAAUGGACUUGGUUUCAAAUCAGCAAUCUUUACCUCUGGUGUGGGAACAUUUUGGCUUUAAGCUGCCUCAGAGAACUGAGGCUGUUUUUUGCCCUCUGCUCCGAAGAUGGCCUACCGAUGAUAAAAGGUGUAAAAAUUCUGUAACUGCCUUGAAUUUGAGAUUAGCCUAAAAUAAAAUCACUAACAGCACUCUACGUCCUAUAAAAUAUUGAGGAACAGGCUUAAACCACAUCAAAAUAAUAGCCCAGUGUGUGGACAGUAAUCAUGGAAUGUUAAAAACUGUAAGGGGAAUUUAUUUUACUUCAGCGUCAUCUGGCCUAGCGGUUUGGUGUGUUUUCUGGAUUAAAUUGCAUAUCAUAUUUAUUAGAGUUGUGUUGUGGAGUAUUUGGAGUAAUAUCUGUAACCGAGGCCUCAAAUAUCAUUGGUUAUGUAUGUUCAUCGACAUGCGGAAUUACAUUCUGAGUCUACUUUACAGACACACUCAAACAUCCAGAAAGCGGCAGUGGUCAGACCCUUACAGCUACCUUCAGAGCCCACCCCCAAAGCUCCCCCUAAAGCAAGCCCAAGGCUACACUGGCUGCAGAAAUCCCUUCUCAGCCCCACUCCCCCCAAAAAAACAUCCAUGCAGGAAGUGGAGAACUGGACUAUUGAGAUAGCCUUACCCUAAAUAUGAUCUUUAUUGAUUUGCUCUUUCGCAGAUUAGGUAUAAGAACAUUUUUACUGGGUAUUGGGUGCCAUACUUGAAUAUAUCGACUUACGUUUCCCAUUUUAACAACUUAUAAUUUACAAAACCUGCAGUUCAUCUCAUCGGCUAAUCAGCGCCUCCCACCCCCCCCCACACUGCCGUACAUUGCGAUCAUCUUCUCCUCCUCUCUUUCUAUAAUGGAUCAGCCAGAAAGUUGGCGAUGUCAUGAAAAUCCUGCUUGAUGCGUGUUAUUUUGGCAUUAUUGGUGGGGAAAUGGAUGUAUUGACUAGUGCCUUGUAGCAAAGCGUUAAGUACUUGUACUGUGAAACGAGGAAGGUUGUUUCAAAAUAAAACAGGAAAUCACAAGACAUAAUAGACACAAGAAAACCAUUAACACUGGUUCCUGGACAUGACAAUAUGGAUUAAUGUAGACUGAGAUAUUCCCACUGCUGAUGCUAUGACUGUUUUGAAAUGAUCCUGAUGCCAAUAAUUGUAAUGUAGUGAGGAGUUUAACAACUGCUAUAAUUAAAUGUAAACGCUGAGUCGGAGAUGCGAUUAACUUUAAUAUUGCAUGGCUGCUUAAUCUGUAAGGCGUAAGGAUUUCCUGUUCACUCAACUGAAAAAGUGUGAUCCUUGUGGUGAAAAUCCUUUCAGCUCGUCUCCUUGGCCUAUGUAGCCGUCUGGCAUGGAUUACGGCUGUCAUUUCAUCAGGAGGCAUAUGGAGGAAAUCUGCAUUCUGGUCAGAAACAGAACGGAUUUUUGCGUUCACGGGCAGUUUCUGUACAUACGGCAAUAUUCAUAAUUAGCACUUUAUCUUGUUGUUUUGCAACUGGAGAGCGGAAGUGACAAUAUUUGGAUUGCACAGGAGCGCCGCAUGUACGGCACAUACGGCUUUGCUCAUCGUGCAAUGGAUUAUAAAAAUGUCAGUUUUGCUCAGAUUCAUAUCCCUGUCAUGGAAAGUGCCACUAUGAAAGAAAAAAACCAAAGUGAGAUAAUAAAUUACUUCUAAUUAAAGCCCCACCUUCGGCUUUCCUCAGGGCCAGCUGAAGUCCCCUCAAAGUUACCAAACGAUGGACUGAGCACAUUACAGAGAGCGCACCCUUUGACUAUGGUCAGACAUUUUGGAUGCCUUACCGUGUAUAGUACUAAAUGUUUAUCGCAUGCAUUAAGGUAAGUGGAAAUGGGCUUGCGACUACUGUAUUGUUCAUUCUGUAAAAAUGACAUUCAUUGUAGUGUGUGGUCGUCGUGGUGCAGGGGUUGGAGAAGGUGUGCUGGGAAGCACAAGGUUGGUGGUUUGAUUCCAGGCUGCCCCAUGUUCCAUGUCGAAGUGUCCCUGUGCAAGACACCUAACCCCUAAUUGCUACCUGGGCAAAAAAUGUGAAAAAGCCAUGGGUUUAAAGUGUAAUGUAAGUCGCUUUGGAUAAAAGCGUCUGCUAAAUGACAUGUAAUGUAAUGUAGUCUGUCCACCCCUUCCCCUGACAUUCUCACUAAGGUUUUUUCCCCAUAGAAAGGUUUUCAUUUUUUGGGGAGUUUUUCUUGUGCUGACUAUAAAGCCCUCUGAGGCAAAUUUGUAAUUUGCGAUUUUUGGCUAUGCAAAAAAGAAAAAAUUAAAUUAAAGCCUUUUAACAGUACACAUCAAGGGUCUUCUACGUUUUUCAGGCCAAGUUCCCCAAACUAAAAGCAAGCUGAUUGGCGAGUGUCUGUGCAGUCAUAUUUUCAUGAAAGGAGCUGUGAGUGAACCGGUGCCCAGCUUGAGAGAGCUCCUGUGGGUAGCUGAAUGUGUGCAUUGCGGACUGAAAGAUAACGUCUUCUCCAUCGGUUUGCUACAAUAUGGUAGAUUCAUGUUAAUGUGUAUUUAAAGACAAUAAAUAUAAUUAAGAUUCUGAAGACAUUUAAAAUUGUGGAAAAAAUUGGUUGGUUUUAAAUGUCUAAGCAAACAAAAAUGAAGUACCUCUGCGGACCCCCUGUUGAAGACCACUGCUGUACAUCAUCCAUCAAUCACCCAUUCACACACUGAUGACAGGAGCUACCAUACACAGUGACCUCUGCACAUAAGUAACUAACAUUCAUAGAUCCAAACUCCGUAAUCAGUCAAGUGAACAAUUUGGGUGUUUUGGCAACAUCAGCGCAGCUAGGAACCAAACCACCAAUCCUUGGAUUGAAGGAUGAUACUGCUCUCCACUAAGCCAGUUUCCGCAUUUUAUUGGUUUGUAUGCGAGGUGUGCACAUAAAAGAUCAAUCAACAGCAUUUGGCUCUCGGUCAGCAGUUUGUCAGUUUUCGUCGAUUUUGAUUUCCUUCAAUUUUAGUUAGUCAACAAGUGUUCUCUCCCCUCACUGGUUCUUAACAGCUCUUUAUGACAUGUGUCUUAAGUAGAAUUUUGAGAAAUCUCACUCACUCCCUUUUCCAGUCCACACCCCAACUCCACGUGAGUUAAUUAACCCCCCUUCGCCACACCUAACUGCAGCAAAUACUAUGAUAAAUGACUCUUUCUAUUCCAAAAGAGAAGAAUCUCAUUUCAGUGCAACAGCUGCAGCAUCCUUUAGCCCCACGAAGGAUAAUAGACUUGCCGAGAGGUACGAAGCAUUUCUUUGGUUCCUGUGCCAGCCGG
ensembl:lncRNA